GUUUGACAUUAGAUAAAACCAAUUGACUCAUCUAAUCUGAACCAUUCUUUUUUUUCUGCUGCACAUUAAAGCAAUAGAACAUAGUGUGACACCAGUUAGGAAGUCAGCAGUUUGUUUAACAUGGGAGGUGAGGACAUGAUGUAAAAAGUGGAGAUUACGGGGUCAUUUUUAUCACAAAGUGAUUUAAAAUGCAGCUGCAUGUUGGGGUCCAGUUGGAGAAAUACAGUAUAAAUAUUUCAAUCUCACACUCACUUUUUCUUUGUCGCUUCUCUUCGUUUUACUCUCUGUUUUUCACUGGCUGCCCACCCCCUGUGCUUGUCACUGUCACAUCCUGAGAGUGUCAGGAAGUUUAGACAAUGAGACAGAAACAGAGGAAACU